rnacentral:rRNA from 1 species
UACGAAGGGUGCAAGCGUUACUCGGAAUUACUGGGCGUAAAGCGUGCGUAGGUGGUUCGUUAAGUCUGAUGUGAAAGCCCCGGGCUCAACCUGGGAAUGGCAUUGGAAACUGGCGAGCUAGAGUGUGGCAGAGGGGGGUGGAAUUCCGCGUGUAGCAGUGAAAUGCGUAGAGAUGCGGAGGAACACCGAUGGCGAAGGCAGCCCCCUGGGCUGACACUGACGCUCAGGCACGAAAGCGUGGGGAGCAAACAGG